ensembl:lncRNA
UUCUGACUAUACUGCCAGCUGCAUGAGAGCAGGAAUUGGUCUUGUUCAGCACUGGGAAAAGUACCUGGCACACAUUGGUGACCAAUAAGUAUUGUUGAAAGGACAGAUGAGGCAAGGAAUGAGAAGUAUCUGGACGGAAGUCAUCUUUAUCCACGCUGCCUGCACCACCCCCAGGCCAACUCUGUGAGAGGUGUAACUGGUGAUAAAUAUCCAAGUGGACUUGAGAGAACUUGGAAUGCAAUGCCGCCUGCUUCCUGCUCCCGUGGGACCCACGUGACUCUCAUCCCAGAGGAGACACCUGUGCCUCCAACCCGGUGGCUUGCCUCCUCGUCCCUCAGGAUGUAACGACAACGACAAGUUUACUGUGUGAGGUCCCAGGCCGAGCGCCAACGCUGAAUGGUUCAUUCAGACCUCACAUUGUCUGGCACAUUUUCAAGCAUUCUUCCCCGUGUUUUGUAGACAAGAAAACCAAGGCUCCCUGAGGGCCAGGUUAAGUAACUUGUCCAGCUGCUCACCACGGCGCAAAGAUGAAGCUGAGUUUUGAAAUACCACAUCAUGCGGUAUUUAGAGAAGAAGAUUGAAAUGGACUUUUCAGAAGAGGUGGGGAGGGACAAUUUUGACAUUAUCUUUUUUCUCCUGAUCAUAUAAGCAAUGCAUGCUCAUUGUUUGUUUAAUUAAGAAAAAGUCAGAGUUUGAAAAGACAUUAGCAGAGGAGUGGUGGUGAGGUUUCCCCUCGUCUGCCGGUUUCUUUCUAAGAACUAAGGGAAAUGACUGAGCCCUCAGAGGGGAGGGAGGGAGGAGAGAAUGUCCUGGCAUUAAAUCUGAGCGGAGAGCAUCGUAACCCUGCAGGGGAGGU